rnacentral:rRNA from 1 species
UACGUAGGGGCCUAGCGUUGUCCGGAAUUAUUGGGCGUAAAGAGCUUGUAGGCGGUCUGUCGCGUCUGCUGUGAAAAUCCGGGGCUCAACCCCGGACUUGCAGUGGGUACGGGCAGACUAGAGUGUGGUAGGGGAGACUGGAAUUCCUGGUGUAGCGGUGAAAUGCGCAGAUAUCGGGAGGAACACCAACGGCGAAGGCAGCACUCUGGGCCGGAACUGACGCUGAGGAGCGAAAGCGUGGGUAGCGAACAGG